GAUCCAGGAAAUAUUACCUACUACUAGCACAGAGUUGUUAGCAACUAUGACCUGCUACUAGUAGGUACAAAGACGGUCUCUACGUCUCUGGAGACUAACAUUUACUGCUACUACUAGGUAACGGCAAAGGAGCAUGUCUAAAAUGAUUUUCAUUGGUCAACGAGUCUACGUCGACGGUAUGCAAGCCAGGCUCUGUCUCAACAGAAAAAUAAAUAGAUUACCGCAGAGCAACUUCAGCCUGUAACCAGCUAGCUUUCUAGAUGUAGAAGUAGCUUCGUAAUGGUGAAAUGCGCCAUGCAAACCUUUCAACCACCAUUCCAGUAUUUUCCCAGUCACCUGGAAUUACAAAUAGAAUCUACAUUAUCAUGAAGAAAAUUAUACGGUAACCAUUGAUAAUAAUACAUCACCAGCUGGUCACAUGACCUCGUCAUGCAUCAUCAUCCGCCGCCAUUUUGUGUAAGGUCACGUCAUUUGUUCCACUCAACUUAGGCCUAGUUUAAGCUAGUUAAUUGUGUCUUUUCUCUAAAUAGAGCACAACAAACGUGGGUGUUUUCAUACCAAUAAAUACUCUUCAAUAUUCCUACCAUUGCCACAAAUGGGAACGUAAUGUCGUGCGUGUUUUCUACAGGUAGCCUUGCAUUCUUUGCGUCCCUAGAAACCGUCGACGUGCACAAGCAAGGUCACGCAUCAUAAAUGCCGUUUAUUCCAAAAGAAAGAGUGCUUUACCGAAACACAGUAUGCAUCGGAGGCAGAAAAUUUAUUCAAGCUCAGAAGUCCCAAACAACUGAAAAUGCUCCAAAACACCAUCACGUGACCCUGGUAUUCUCAAAGUGCUGGUGAAAGUGUUUGUUUUUUAGGCCUAAAUAUUUGUUGAUAGUAGAGAGGCGGAUUGAUAGACUUUAUAACAAGUCAUGAUCAACAUUCCCCAACUGUUAGUUAAUUACACUAGUCAGUCUACAUCUGUAUUGUUUCUUUGCAACCUCUGUCAACAAACUCAAAUUUAUCCAUUUAUACCUUAAUAAUUGUGUUGUUUUAAGAUUAUGACUAGGCCUACAGCAUCUAACUAACUGUAAUCCUCUGAUAACUAAAUGUCUGAAGGCAAAAUACCAUUUUAUUGAUGAAUAUAUAUCCAUUUAACUCAUACAGAUUAGUGUAGGGUGUAAUGUUGGAAUGUUUUUGUUGACAGUAGCAGACACUACAUCUGCCUAUGAGCAAUGGACAAAACUGAGAAUACCUUAUCAUGAACCGUAGUGAACACUGCUGGCAACAUCCUGUUUUAUUGGCACACAACAGCAUCCCUCCUGAUCAAGUGAAAAGGAAUCCUAUGACACCGCUUGAUCUUUGUCUGACAUGGAAAUCUGAAAAUCAAAUAAGGUGGAAGAAUAACAUCUGGUUAAAAAAUUUAUGUGGAAAAAUAUCUGCUUUAAAGUGAUGUCAUGAACUGGACGCUGCACUCUUGAUUCCAACACUAAUAUUGUCAUGACCAAAUGUUAAAGUUCAUAUUCAGCAAGUUGAAGAUAACUGACACCAUCUUUAAGUAUAAGUUGCACAAAUAUGGUAUUCAGAAGUUUUUUGUUUUCACUACUGAUGUAUAUAUAGUAUAAAAAAAUGGAUUUCUGUAAUAGAAUAAAGUAUUGGAAUACA